GGGAUGAUGGCUCCCGGCGUUACGAUGCAAAAUAAAGCUCUCUGAUUCGCUGGGAAAUUUCAGCCAGCCAAUCGGAGAGUUUUUUAAAUUUUAAACAUUUUCAGCAAAUCAGAGAACUUUAUUUUGUGACGUAACGCCGGGACAAGUCAUCCC
rnacentral:miRNA from 1 species